UCUUGAAUAUCUGGAAGUU
rnacentral:snRNA from 1 species